AUCCUUUUGUAGCUGAUGAGCAUGAUAACUGGGUGUUCACAGCCAUCUGUGAGAUGUGCCACCUUGAAAGUUUGUUAACACAUCAGCACAUUACCCAUCUGACA
ensembl:snoRNA